UUUCGUCUUAAUGUCUUCAGAUCCCGUUCUAUCAAGUGUUCAUUUCUUUAGCUUGAGACCUUUUAUUUUUGAAAGAUUAUAUUCCAAGUAUUUUCAUAUGAAAGAGAUCAAUUUUCAUUCUGAUUCAUCCUUUUCAGAAAUGAUCCGAGACAUCUUGAGAUCUUCUCUAGAAGGAGUUUUCCCACAUUUAAUUUGGGAAGGGAAGGUGCAUUAAGCAUAAUUAUAGUUCAAAAUGGCCGAAGAAGUUCCAAGGACAACCAAUAGUCAAGCUUUGAGGCGGUUGUCUUCAGAUCAAGAGGAUUGGGAUUCAAUGAAGCGAAGCAAGAGAGGAAAAUGCUCUUUUCUGAAGCCACAAGAUUCUAGUUUAUCGAUCUGCAAAAAUCCUGCGUGUGAAGCAACACAAUCCACUGUUCCUGGGUUGUGCAAGAGGUGUUGUUGCUGUAUUUGUUGUCGAUUUGAUAACAAUAUGGACCCAAGCCUUUGGUUGAAAUGCACACCUGAGUCUGGUUCAGAAGGUUCCUGUGGCUCUUCCUGUCAUGCUGAGUGUGCUCUCUCCGACAUGGGAUGGUCGGCUAUGGCUCCUAUAUUUGUGCUACAUGUGGUAAAGUUUCCUCAGUAAUUAGGUAAGAUUUUCUGUAUCAAUAUUUUCUUACAGUAACAUAACUUUUCUCAUUCCAUCUUUGUAUCUCAUUCCACCAUAUCAGUCACACCCUGGGCCUUGGUCAUAUUUGUAGUAGUCUUACUAGUAGGAGCUAUCUUUGGUGGGGAAACCACAGAAGUUUUCUCACUUAUGUCUUUCUGUUUCACUCUUUCCUUCUUUGUUUGUGCGGCGUGCGUGUCAAACAAGUGCACAUGAAAUCACAGUUAGCUCAUAUUUGUGCGUGAAAAUUGCAAUUAUGUGCAUGGUCUGGUAACUAAGUACAUUAUUAGUUAUUUAUUUUUAUUGUUCCAAUAAUCGUUAUCGUGCUUCAUAAAUGACUUGCCUUUUUAGGACUUGACAUUACGAUUUGUAAUUAGCUUAUCUCCAUAUUUGGAAUUUCGUAAUCUUACAGACUACUUUCUCUUACACCUAACUUGUUUUGUGAUUUCACACUUUACCAUAUACCGGGGCUUCUUGAUCUGAAUGACUUGCAGAUUCUGGAAGAAGCAGUUAGAGAUAGCUAUGGAUUCCAAGCAUGUUGAUAUCCUGUGCUAUAGGAUAUUCUUGAAUUACAGGCUCCUCAAGGGUACAUCCAGGUUUUGUGAGCUCCACAAGUUCAUUGAAGAUUUGAAGGUCGCGUUAGAGAGGGAGUUCGGUCCAAUCAAUGAAGCAGCGCUCAAGUUUCCCCCGUGCACGCACUGGAAGACUUAACAAAUCUGUGCAAGCUCAGUGCAAGCUUGCUAUUCAAAAAGCUGAAGAACUUCAGACUUCAAAUUCCAGCUCACUUUUAAAUCUCAGUGCAGAGGGUUCGGUUUCUGAUUCCGUACAUCGAUACAAGAAUAGAGCAGAUGUCGAAUCAGAUUCUAGAGAGAAGCUUGUCCAGAAAAGAGGAAAAGAGCCUCAAAGUGGGGGAAAAUGCAUGGGAGUCGGAGGUGUUGAGGCCGCCGAGACUCUACAGGUAGACUGCCAAUUCCUGAUCUGAACGAGGAGUUUCAAGCGCCCGAUACAAAGACAAGCAUAGCAGCAGUGGAGAAGAGCCAAGGAUUGGAUGAGGACUUUGAAAACAUUGUGAGGAUCAUCCGGGGGCUAGAGCAUGGUGGCCAUGUCAGUAUGGAGUUCAGGUUGAAGUUCCUGACAUGGUUUAGCUUGAAGGCUAGGGAGCAUGAACGUCGAGUUGUCAGAACGUUCAUGAAGACUAUGAUCGAUGACCCAAAUGGUCUUGCUGGUCAGCUAGUCGAUGCUUUCUCAGCAAUCAUAUUCUGCAACAGACCUUGAAAGUUAUUGCCUUUAGGGUCUGCUGUUUGAGAAUCCUUGCCUUUUUUUUUGUAGAUUUUAUUCUACUUUUGCUUGAUCUUCGCCUGUUAUGAUUAUGUACAUUUAUGCUGU